UCAGGAUGAACGCUGGCGGCGUGCUUAACACAUGCAAGUCGAGCGAAGUUAUUGAGCUUGCUUAAUAAACUUAGCGGCGGACGGGUGAGUAACGCGUGGGUAACCUGCCCUGUACAGAGGAAUAACAGUUAGAAAUGACUGCUAAUGCCUCAUAAGCCGACGGAAUGGCAUCUUUUUGUCGGAAAAGAUUUAUCGGGUACAGGAGGGACCCGCGUCUGAUUAGCUAGUUGGUGAGGUAACGGCCCACCAAGGCGACGAUCAGUAGCCGACCUGAGAGGGUGAUCGGCCACAUUGGAACUGAGACACGGUCCAAACUCCUACGGGAGGCAGCAGUGGGGAAUAUUGCACAAUGGGGGAAACCCUGAUGCCAGCAACGCCGCGUGAAGGAAGAAGUAUUUCGGUAUGUAAACUUCUAUCGACAGGGAAGAUAAUGACGGUACCUGAAUAAGGAGCACCGGCUAAAUACGUGCCAGCCGCAGC
rnacentral:rRNA from 1 species